GUGGGGAAUCUUGUGCAAUGGGCGAAAGCCUGACGCAGCCAUGCCGCGUGAAUGAUGAAGGUCUUAGGAUUGUAAAAUUCUUUCACCGGGGACGAUAAUGACGGUACCCGGAGAAGAAGCCCCGGCUAACUUCAUGCCAGCAGCCGCGGUAAUACGAAGGGGGCUAGCGUUGCUCGGAAUUACUGGGCGUAAAGGGCGCGUAGGCGGACAGUUUAGUCAGAGGUGAAAGCCCAGGGCUCAACCUUGGAAUUGCCUUUGAUACUGGCUGUCUUGAGUACGGGAGAGGUGAGUGGAACUCCGAGUGUAGAGGUGAAAUUCGUAGAUAUUCGGAAGAACACCAGUGGCGAAGGCGACUCACUGGCCCGUUACUGACGCUGAGGCGCGAAAGCGUGGGGAGCAAACAGGAUUAGAUACCCCGGUAGUCC
rnacentral:rRNA from 1 species